CCCCUCUCAGGGUCGCACCUGGAGAAUUUCUAGUACUCUACCAGUCUCGGCUACAGGAGGGAGAGUCAAGCAGAGGUCUACUCAUUCCAUUCCUAGCUGGGGCAGUAGCUAGCAAGCAGAAGGCAAUCUGCUACAAGU